UUCGGGCUAAAGUUAGUGGCGAACGGGUGAGUAAUGUAGGGGAAUCUACCUAGCAGUAAGGAAUAACUCUGGGAAACCAGUGCUAAUACCAUAUAUUACCGAUUUAUCGGGAAAGAUUUAUCGCUGUUAGAUGAGCCCCUAUCGGAUUAGCUUGUUGGUAGGGUAAUGGCCUACCAAGGCGAUGAUCCGUAGCUGGUCUGAGAGGAUGAUCAGCCACACUGGAACUUAGACACGGUCCAGACUCC
rnacentral:rRNA from 1 species